UGCGAACGGCUCAUUAAUCAGUUAUCGUUUAUUUGAUAGUACCUUUACCUACUUGGAUAACCGUGGUAAUUCUAGAGCUAAUACAUGCUAAAAGUCCCGACCUCUGGAAGGGACGUAUUUAUUAGAUAAAAAACCAAUGCCCUUCUGGGCUUCUUGGUGAUUCAUGAUAACUUUACGAAUCGCAUGGCCUUGUGCCGGCGAUGGUUCAUUCAAAUUUCUGCCCUAUCAACUUUCGAUGDUAGGAUAGUGGCCUACCAUGGUUUCAACGGGUAACGGGGAAUUASGGUUCGAUUCCGGAGAGGGAGCCUGAGAAACGGCUACCACAUCCAAGGAAGGCAGCAGGCGCGCAAAUUACCCAAUCCCGACACGGGGAGGUAGUGACAAGAAAUACUGAUACAGGGCCCAUCUGGGUCUUGUAAUUGGAAUGAGUACAAUUUAAAGCCUUUAACGAGGAACAAUUGGAGGGCAAGUCUGGUGCCAGCAGCCGCGGUAAUUCCAGCUCCAAUAGCGUAUAUUAAAGUUGUUGCAGUUAAAAAGCUCGUAGUUGAACUUUGGGUCUGGGUGACCGGUCCCCCGACUGGGUGGCACUGGAAACCCGGAUCUUUCCUUCUGGAGAACCUCAUGCCCUUCACUGGGUGUGCUGGGGAACUAGGACUUUUACUUUGAAAAAAUUAGAGUGUUCAAAGCAGGCUUUUGCUCGAAUACAUUAGCAUGGAAUAAUAAAAUAGGACGUGCGGUUCUAUUUUGUUGGUUUCUAGGACCGCCGUAAUGAUUAAUAGGGAUAGUCGGGGGCAUCCGUAUUCGAUUGUCAGAGGUGAAAUUCUUGGAUUUUUCGAAGACGAACUACUGCGAAAGCAUUUGCCAAGGAUGUUUUCAUUAAUCAGGAACGAAAGUUGAGGGAUCGAAGACGAUCAGAUACCGUCGUAGUCUCAACCAUAAACUAUGCCGACUAGGAAUCGGGCGAUGUUUUCAAUUUGACUCGCUCGGCACCUUACGAGAAAUCAAAGUUUUUGGGUUCUGGGGGGAGUAUGGUCGCAAGGCUGAAACUUAAAGGAAUUGACGGAAGGGCACCACCAGGAGUGGAGCCUGCGGCUUAAUUUGACUCAACACGGGGAAACUCACCAGGUCCAGACACAUUAAGGAUUGACAGAUUGAGAGCUCUUUCUUGAUUAUGUGGGUGGUGGUGCAUGGCCGUUCUUAGUUGGUGGAGUGAUUUGUCUGCUUAAUUGCGAUAACGAACGAGACCUUAACCUGCUAAAUAGCCG
rnacentral:rRNA from 1 species